rnacentral:rRNA from 1 species
UACGUAGGGUGCAAGCGUUAUCCGGCAUUAUUGGGCGUAAAGAGCUCGUAGGCGGUUUGUCGCGUCUGCUGUGAAAACCCGAGGCUCAACCUCGGGCCUGCAGUGGGUACGGGCAGACUAGAGUGCGGUAGGGGAGAUUGGAAUUCCUGGUGUAGCGGUGAAAUGCGCAGAUAUCAGGAGGAACACCGAUGGCGAAGGCAGGUCUCUGGGCAUUAACUGACGCUGAGGAGCGAAAGCAUGGGGAGCGAACAGG